AGAACGCGUUGGUGAUUUACAAUGUUGGGACUCCCGGGGGAGUCCCGGGGGGGGGGGGGGGGGACACGAUCAUGUAGGUUUCGCUCAAGCGUCUACAUCAACUCAAUAUCAGGUGGCACUUGAGGCAUAUUAAUAGGACUCUCAAGACCUCCGCCAAUGCUGCGCGGCCUCAGGGCAAGCAGCCUGGCCGGGUCACGCCGGCCCAUUCAUUCUACAGCGCGCGUCCACGCCCACGGGAGCACACAGAAUGACCUUGCGCUCUCACAAGGGGGUUACUACUUCCUCUAGAAAAGCGACCCAAUCCUCCCAAAAGCCGACUCCCACACUGAAGAACUGUCUGCUUCUGGGUUCUCAAAGGCACGUCCGAGACACUAAAGGGUUGCUUGAGGGUCCUCAUGACAUGGCAGCUGGCUUCCCCUAGAGCAGGUGAUCCAAGAGAGAGACACAAAGCCACGAUUUCUUAUAUGAUCCAGCCUUGGAAGUCACACUGUCAUUUCUGCUUUAUUCUGUUAGAAAGACAGAGAGCACAAGAGCACAAGCAGGAAGAGUGGCAGGCAGAGGAAGAGGGAGA